rnacentral:rRNA from 1 species
CAGCCGCCGCGGUAAUACGUAGGGUACAAGCGUUAAUCGGAAUUACUGGGCGUAAAGCGUGCGCAGGCGGUUCGGAAAGAAAGAUGUGAAAUCCCAGAGCUUAACUUUGGAACUGCAUUUUUAACUACCGAGCUAGAGUGUGUCAGAGGGGGGUAGAAUUCCACGUGUAGCAGUGAAAUGCGUAGAUAUGUGGAGGAAUACCGAUGGCGAAGGCAGCCCCCUGGGAUAACACUGACGCUCAUGCACGAAAGCGUGGGGAGCAAACAGGAUUAGAUAUCCGUGUAGUCCCUGUCUCUUAUAC